rnacentral:lncRNA from 1 species
CUGGAGCUCAGACUGCAGCUGGGCGCUUUGGGCUGUGAAGAUGUUUAGCUGCUGCCUGGCAGUGCUUGUCCUGGCGAGGCAGGUUGCAGGAGAGCCCGAGACCAGCCCUGCUGGGUCAAGGCUCUGGGUCUGGGCCUCACCUGCAAUGGGACAUGUUGGAGGAGGCUGGCUCCUGGCAGGGAGGGUCAGGAGCACCAGCCCUCUGCAGCAGUGCUGCCCCUCACCCCGCCCGACUGCUUCCAUGCCAGCUAGGCCCCUCCCCACUCUCGCGCCGCCCUCGGUGGCUGUCGUGGUUUCACACCCCCCGGACUCAUUUCCAGAAAUGGAUUUCCUCCCACAAGGGCUUGUGUGUAAAAGCCUCAGCUGAGCGGGUUUGAGCUCACUCGUCGCCAGGGGGUUACUGAGAACAUGGAUUAGUUGCUGCCUCGCUCUGCGCUGGGCUGCGACCAUCUCCCACAAGUAACCCCCGUACCCUGCCCCGGUAUGAGCUGGUUCUCUAAGGCUCGAGGAUGGGGAGCUGGGCCCUGAAGGUGGCUGGGGGCUUUCUGGCUGCACUGCUGCUGACCGGCAGCGGGUUUCCGUUGUUGGGCACCCUGAAGCCACGAGCAGCCAGGACUGGCAGCGAGCCCAGGAGGGCGAGGAGCCUAGCGGACUCUGCACUGGGGCUGCACCAUCACCAGCAGCACCAGAGACACAUUGCUAGACACAACUGUGCAGCUGACGACCCCUUGUACUCGCCAAGGCGCUGCUGCCAGACGUGCCCGGCAGGGAAGUUUAUGACGGCUCCCUGCACGAGCCGUGGCUACGACACGGCCUGCGAGCGCUGCCCACCCGGCACCUACCUCUCCUUCCAGAACCUCGAGCGGGAAUGUCGAAAGUGCUCCGAGUGCCAAGCGCAAGCUUCCCAGGUCGUGCUGAAGAACUGCACCGAGACCAGCAACAUCGAGUGCGGCUGUGGGGCCGGCCACUUCAUGCAGUGCACAGACCCUGCCUGCAGAGACUUCACCUGCCAGGAAUGUCGCCGGUGCAAGGGCAGGGGCACCCGUCACAACUGUGAGUGUCCAGAGCGCUGCCCGCUGCCUUCCAAUCCUGGCACUGCCCCCCUCACUG